AAAAAAAAAAAAAAAACUCUGUUUCUGUCUCAUUUGAGUUGACUUGUUUAAUACUAUUGUUUGUUCUUUCAGUUUGUUGUACUCUUCCCUCCAAAACUGUGUUCCAUUUCCCUCCAAACCCUUUCGUCUCCACCGAGAGAGAAUCUUCAAAUUCACAUCGAAGCUCUGUUUCGCGCACAGUCCCUUUCCUCUCUCACUGUGUGUAUUAUUUGAAUUUUACAAAACAAGGAUCAACAUUCUCUAAAUGAAGAUCAUGUGUUAGGAAAAAGACAGUUUCAACUCUUCAUGAGUGGAUUCUCAAGUGUAUGGAAAUAGGUAUUCCUUACUUUAAUGUUAUUCUUUUGAAAGAGUUUUUUAUGUGUAUGCAAUGUGUUAAAAAAUUGAAAGAGUCUUCUUUGGAUGGGGAUGAAGACUCACUAGGACAUCACUGAUUUUGUGUUUGCUUAGCUUAAUUUCUUACUUACUUUGACAUCUA